GGGGAAACGGGAAGCUUGCUCUUGACGCUUCUGAUCUUCGUCCUCCAUGUGGCAGUGAGAUCCGAUCAGCUUCGUCUUCGCCGGUCAGCUCCUUUUCUUUUCCGGGCAGCUCCUUCUUCGUCUCUCAUCUCCCCUUUUGCCCUAGCUUGAGGGUGUUUGCUCCUCUGCUCGAGAGUUGGCCUCUCUCGCUUGAUAAAUGAGUGUUUUUCUCCAAAUGAGGUGUGUGCCACAGAGACCCUCUGCAGCUGCUGC
rnacentral:lncRNA from 1 species